CUAGCGAUAUCUGCAUCACGCUCAUGACUUUCUGCCUCCAAGAGUUGUGCUAAUUGGUACAUUAAAAUUCUAGUUUCGUAGUUAUCUUCAGUUUUGACACUAACUCUACCAGCGCGUCAUCUUGCUGAAACAAACACUUCAAUGAUACUGUAUAAAUUUUUUAAGUAUGUCCCAUUCAUCAUUGUUGAUGUGCUCGAAUAUUAUCUCUUCCGCAUCUCGAUUGUAAUGAAUUGGGUAAUUCAUAUUGUUAAGUAAAUGUUUCGGGUUUCCUCGAUGAUGGAGCUUGGGUAUCCUGUAUGCACCCAUCAAUGGCUGCCAUGGUCGUCAAUGGCUUGGACAUAAAUAGAGAGGAGAAGAAAGGGGUGGGCCCG
rnacentral:lncRNA from 1 species